CGUAAGGCGCCGAAUGAGUCAUAAUUAACAUCAUCCGAUCCCUAGUCGGCAUAGUUUAUGGUUAAGACUACGACGGUAUCUGAUCGUCUUCGAUCCCCUAACUUUCGUUCUUGAUUAAUGAAAACAUCCUUGGCAAAUGCUUUCGCAGUAGUUAGUCUUCAAUAAAUCCAAGAAUUUCACCUCUGACAAUUGAAUACCUAAUGCCCCCAACUAUCCCUAUUAAUCAUUACGUCGAUCCUAGAAACCUAACAAAAUAGAAUCAAACGUCCUAUUCAUUAUUCCAUUGCUAAUGUAUUCAAGCGCGAGCCUGCUUUAAACACUCUAA
rnacentral:rRNA from 1 species